GCCCUCGUAGCUCAGUGGAAAGAGCGGGGAGUUUCUACGUCUCGUGGCGUAGGUUCAAGUCCUGCCGAGGGCAUCA
rnacentral:tRNA from 1 species